rnacentral:rRNA from 1 species
ACUCAAAGGAAUAGACGGGGGCUCACACAAGCGGUGGAGCAUGUUGCUUAAUUCGAAGCAACGCGAAGAACCUUACCUGGGUUUGACAUGUAUGGAUUAGUUCUUGGAAACAGGAAUGACACUCGCAAGAGUGGAACGUACACAGGUGCUGCAUGGCUGUCGUCAGCUCGUGCUGUGAAGUGUCGGGUUAAGUCCCUUAACGAGCGCAACCCCUGUCGCUAGUUGCUCACGGGUCAAGCCGAGGACUCUAGCGAGACUGCCGGUGUCAAACCGGAGGAAGGUGGGGAUGACGUCAAGUCCUCAUGGCCCUUACAUCCAGGGUUGCAAACGUGCUACAAUGGCGUGAACAAAGCGACGCAAGGCCGCGAGGCGGAGCAAAUCGCAGAAAACACGCCCCAGUUCAGAUUGGAGUCUGCAACCCGACUCCAUGAAGCCGGAAUCGCUAGUAAUCGCGGAUCAGCCACGCCGCGGUGAAUAAGUUCCUGAGCCUUGUACACACCGCCCGU